CUACGGGGUGCUGCAGUGAGGAAUUUUGCGCAAUGGGGGAAACCCUGACGCAGCAACGCCGCGUGAGUGAUGAAGGCCUUCGGGUCGUAAAGCUCUGUCAAGUGGGAAGAACCCACCCUGUGCUAAUAUCACAGGGUGCUGACGGUACCACUGAAGGAAGCACCGGCUAACUCCGUGCCAGCAGCCGCGGUAAUACGGAGGGUGCAAGCGUUAUUCGGAAUUACUGGGCGUAAAGGGCGCGUAGGCGGCCUUUUAAGUCAGAUGUGAAAUCCCGGGGCUCAACCCCGGAAGUGCAUCUGAACUAAGGGGCUUGAGUAUGGGAGAGGGAAGUGGAAUUCCUGGUGUAGAGGUGAAAUUCGUAGAUAUCAGGAGGAACACCGGUGGCGAAGGCGACCUCCUGGACCAAUACUGACGCUGAGGCGCGAAGGCGUGGGGAGCAAACAGGAUUAGAUACCCUUGUAGUC
rnacentral:rRNA from 1 species